CGUACCACAGCUGCAGCCUCCCAAUGGCAAGCAGGGCUGGCCGGAGGCGCCUGGCACCAGGCUAUAGGAGACUCCACUCUGGCACAGGGCUCCCGCUGUUCUCUCACUGGCCCAGCUGAUAAAGGUUUCCUGAGUGCAGCUGACACCCAGCCACGGCACAGGCACCAGCCAGGAGCACAGCCUCUGCCCGAGGAGCCUACAGCCCCCACCCCCACCACCUGGACUCUCUUCUCCAAGGUAGAGUCAGGCGUCUGUGGUCCAGCCUGGUCACAGUGUCCACAGUCACCAUUCAGCCCCACAACAGACCAGGUACCACAGAACACCGGGUGCUACGGCACAGGGGGUGCUGGACAAAUGGCGCUUUCAUCCCGAAGCCACAUCCCCGGCAGGUGGAGCAGCGACAGGGCCAGCUCUGGGCCCCCACAGCCUCCCAGACUUGGUGGAUACUGCGCUAGACCAGGCCUCGUCCCCGUCACUGCUGUCAACAGGCAGGGCUGCCUGGAUGGCACGGGGUGGACCCAGACCAGGUGGGCUCUGCAGGAAGGAGCCCUGGGCUCCGUUAGCAACGCCUGCCGCAGGUGCAAUGGGCCCUGGGGCCACCGUCAACACACAGAACUCUGACAGGCUGGGUGACUGCAGGCCUGGGCCAGCCCCCUUGCACUGGGAGCCCACCUCCCCUCACUCGGGACCAGACGAGCAGCAAGGGCCUCUGGGUUCUUGGUCCGGCCUGUGGCCCAGGAUGCUUCCUCCCUGUGCACUGAGAUGGGGACACUAAGCUUCAAGCACCUGUGAUGAAAGCCACAGGGGCCAUUGGCCAGUGCGAGACACCUUAAGGAACUGAAGCAACAGAUGGGUGGGCAGGAUGGGCACUGCGGAGCUGGCAGGACAGGAUGGACGAAGCAGAGCGAGCCCGUGUCAGGUGGGCCUCAGCAGGCUGCAGCACGGUCACGCCUCCUGCUCGUGGCAAAGCUAAAGUGACGUUUGCAGGGCAGAAGCACAAGGCAGACUGCAAAUGACCCGCAGAAAAGACGGGUUUUCUGCGGCUGGACAGCAAAGACAAAACUGCUGGGCCAAUGAGUGACCCUCCAGCCCGCCCUGCCCAUGGCACUCAGCGUCCUUGGGCAAGUCCUCGCACCCCAUGGACCUCGCUCCACAUGUAACUGAGUCACCAGCAACAAAGAGGCGUGGCCGGCCCAGCCUGCAGCCAUCUACUCCCCAGGGGCUGGGCCAGCCGCCAGGUGCCCAGGUAGGCCUCGCCUGGAGGGCGGAGCUAAGGCUGCACCAGCCCCUGCCCUGAACUCUCCCAGCCGCUCGGGAGCAGGAAAGGGUAGGUGGGGUGGCCUUGGUCUACAGUCUGGGUCCUUGCUUCUGUUUUGCUCCCACAGGAAGGAGAGGCAACCCCAACACCUGUGCAGAGACCAGCUGGGAGGCUGGGGCCAAAACCCACAGCUGAGGAACCCACAAAGGACCUCGGAGGAAGGGGGUGACGGCCAGGCUGGCACUGCUCCCUCACUCCCCACCCUUCCUCCCCACUCUCAAGUUGCCCAAAAAGUGGCAGGAGGCAGAGCUCUCCUGGGGUGGCUCAGGCCACACCCCAGCACCCCAGCCAGGGAGGCGGGGCUCUGGGAGGGCUUCCCUAGGAAACGCCCUGUGAUUGGUGGGAAGCUGCACCCACCGCACCCUCUGCACAAGGACACGUGAGGCCCACAGGCCGCUCCAACACACUGGGGAGAGAAAGGACCCCUCCUGCAUUUUUUUUUUUCCUGGUGCUGGGGUUGGAACCCAAGCCUCGUGUUAAGCAUGUGCCCCACUGGGCCACACCCAGCC